AGAGCCCUGAAGCUCAAGCGGAGCCCGCUGGCCGCAGGGGCCGCACCACGCCCCAGACCCUGGAGUUUCCGGGUGCGCAGACCCUUGCCAUCAGCAGAGGCUGCCGCUGCGCGUCCCCUAGGCGCGGAAGAGGCGGCUGGUGGUCCCUGACGGCAAGGUUUUAUACAUUACGAAUAAAGCUGGCACGUUUCCAUUUCUCCUGGGCAAAUAUUUAGAAGAAAAGUUGCUGGGUAAUUGGUGGAGACAAGGUUUCGCCACAUUGACUGGGCUGGUCUGGAACUCCUGAGCUCAAGCAACCGGCCCUCCUUGACCUCCCAAAGUGCUAGGAUUACAGGUGUGAACCACCGUGCCCGGCCCUACUUUCUAUCGAAGUAGAAUAGGUAGAUCACAUUAUUAUUAACAGUAUAUGGGAAGAGGGAGGUCCUCCCAUGUUACAUUGUUCUCCCUUCACCUUCUGGGUCAUGUUGCACCACUGUUUCCCUUCUAGUCAUAUCCCAGGGGGCCUUGUCCCAUUUAUACAGCUCUAUUCUAGUGGUCACCAGAGGAAUGGGAGUAAUCUGAUUGAAAGAUAAGACAGAAGAUUGUACUCUCUUUUUUUUUUUUUUGAGACAGAGUCACCCAGGCUGGAAUGCAGUGGCAUUGUCAUGGCUCACCGCAGUCUCAAACUCCUGGGCCCAAGUGAUCCUCCCACUCAGCCUCCUGAGUAGCUGGGACUAGAGGCACAUGCAACCACAUGCAGCUAUUUUUUUUUAAAUUUUCUGUAGAGACAGGGUCUCACUGUGUUGCUCAGUUUGUCUCAAACUCCUGGGCUCAAGUGAUCCUCCUGCCUUGGCCUCACAAAGUACUAGGAUUACAGGCAUGAGUCACCACACUCAGCUGAACUCUACUCUUUAUGUUCAGGAAAGCACUGGAGAAGAGAGAGGACAAGAGAAACAGGUCCGUAGUGACAGGAGCCUAGGAAUAGAGCAGGCCUUCAGUCUUGGUGAAAAAAUAAAUGGUAUUCUAAGCCUUC
rnacentral:lncRNA from 10 species